rnacentral:rRNA from 1 species
UAGAGUUUGAUCCUAGCUCAGGAUGAACGCUGGCGGCGUGGAUAAGGCAUGCAAGUCGAGCGAGCCGUGCAGAGCACGGAAAUCCGAAAUUCUAAACACUAAACUCUAAACAAGUUCAAAAUUCCAAUAUUUCAAACUCUAAGCGAGACCCGUUUUGAGUCUGUGGUUUGGUUUUUGUAUUUUGUUUAGGAUUUAGAUAUUAGAGUUUAGAGUUUCCGCGCUCUGCGCGGUUAGCGGCAGACGAGGUAGUAAUAAGCAGGUAACGUACCAUAGAGUCAGGCAUAGCUCAUCGAAAGGUGAGGUAAUUCCUGAUAGCACCUUGUGCGAAGCACAGAGGAACAAAGCACAAAACACAGACAUACACAAAAAACCAAACAAAACACAAAAAAUUCAAACCACACAAACACUUCUUCGUUUGUGCUUUGAGAGCAUGUGCUUUGUUUGGACUUUGUGCACUGUGCUUUGGAGGAGUUUGUUUUUCCGCGUUUCGCGCGAGGUUAAAGUCGCAAGACGCUCUUUGAACGGCCUGCUCGGUAUCAGCUAGUUGGCAGGGUAAAAGCCUACCAAGGCUAUGACGCCUAGGGGACCUGAGAGGGUGACCCCCACCGAUGGAACUGAGAAACGGUCCAUACACCUACGGGUGGCUGCAGCCGAGAAUAUUCGACAAUGGGCGAAAGCCUGAUCGAGCGACGCCGCGUGGAGGAUGAAGUGCUUCGGCAUGUAAACUCCUUUUGUAGACUAGAAAGUUUAUUGAUCAGUCUAAGAAUAAGAGGUUACUAAACUCGUGAACCGUUCGGAUUAAGCUCCGAACAUUCCAAAUUAGUAUUAAAAACUCGUGCCCCGUACACAGCUCUGCUGUUGUACUGGGGUGUAUAUCGUGCGCGACUUUCUGCCGUAAGGCAGAUCGAAAAUUCGGCUUAUAUGCUGGGACGCUAUUGAGAACUGCGCUCUGAUAUUCCAUCGGAGUCCUCGAUAGUCAAUCAGCAGGGAAGUCGGCUAUACUUAAGGCACAUGGCCUUAUCGCAAACACAAGAGCAGAUUGUAACGGGCUUGUUGCUCGGAGAUGGGUAUCUUGAAUUCGAUAAAUUCAAGGCAAGCCGUCUUCAGAUAAAACAAGCGGAGUGUAAAAAGGAGUAUGUGUUCUGGCUUUACACGCAUUUCGCGGAUAAAGUACGAACUCCUCCAAAGCAAAGAGGAGACACCAUGCAGUGGUAUUUCAGCACCCGUUCCUUACGGGAACUUGAAGAGUGGCGCAGCAAUUUUUACCCCAAUGGUAAGAAAAUUGUGCCAAGAAAUAUCACUGAACUGUUGGUUGACCCCAUUACUUUGGCAGUGUGGUUUAUGGAUGACGGCGUGUUAGAUUACCGAAUCCGAUCCCAUUACUCGUUUACGCUAAGUACCGAUGCGUUCAGUAUCGCGGAGGUGCAAUUGUUACAGCAUACUUUACUCAAGAAUUUCGGCAUUGAGUCUUCGAUUCAAACACCGAGUUCAAGGGGUACAAAGUAUACGAAAUUAUAUAUCGGCAAAAAUGGCAGGGAAAAGUUCCUCGAAGCCGUUAAGCCCUAUAUGCUCAAAUGUUUUGCGUAUAAGAUUCCGCCUCACUAUAGCUUGACCCCUCAGAGACUGAACUCAAUGCAAUUGCAGCGAGUGAGAUAGAAUCCACAAAAUUCUAUAAAACGCCGACCCCUAACUAUGUUAGGGUGAUGAUAUAGUCCAAUUCUUACAGCAAUGUAAGUUAAAGUGGCCAGCAGUAGCGGUAAUACGAGUGCCUCAAGCGUUAUCCGGAAUUACUGGGCGUAAAGGGUGUGUAGGCGGCUGUGUUAGUCUUCUGUCAAAUUCUUCGGCUUAACCGGAGGCUCGCAGAAGAAACGGCACGGCUUUGAGGGUGCAAGAGGUUUGCGGAACUCAUGGUGUAGGGGUGAAAUCCGUUGAUAUCAUGGGGAACACCGAAAGCGAAGGCAGCAAGCUGGUGCACUCCUGACGCUGAAACACGAAAGCGUGGGUAGCGAAUGGGAUUGACGUUCACAUUCUCUUUUCACAAACGUGCUUCGGUACUUAAGAAAAUUAUAGUCGGCUCACGACGGAAAUUUCAUAACUCGCUCCGAUAAGAAUCAGAGCUCAAACAGAUGAAAUUUCCUGUUCGCCUCCUUAAUUUUCAAAUUACCUCCCGCAAUGUUUGCUCAAAGAGAAUGUUCACUAAGCUGGUAAGAAAGCAUAGUGGUGCGUAGGGGUACGUAGAACACUGGUCCCUUUGGUAUUACUUGCACUGAAAGAAGCAUAGUUCUUUGGGGAAGAGAGAUGGCCAGCACGGGGAAGUGGAGCCGUGAAGGGAAAUUCUCUCAUGCGGGCGGCUUUUGCCCGCGUGUUAUAAGUCGACAUCCCUCUGAUGUGAUAAUUCGGUUUGAAAUCCCGAUGAGAUUAGAACACCUCGCGCCACUCAGGUGGUUGACGGGUGUAUAUAAGAAUCAGUCGGUUGUUCCGAAACAACACAUCUCUUUUCCCCCUUCCAAUUCUGCCAAGCAAGUCUUGGCGCUUCUUUCAGUGCCGGUAACCAAAUAAAAUUUGGCUAUAUGCUGGAAUAUCCGAGUAUCCGAGAGUACCGCAAGGUAACAAUCUCUCGGUGCGGCCGCCGUCGCUAAAAGCUAUGGCGAGCCAACGGACAAUCAGCAGGGAAGACUUAGAAAAUGCAAAAUGUAAAUCUCAAAAUGAAAAAUUGUCGUGUCUAGCUCCGUUGGACUCCAUAAUUUUAAUCUCUGACUUUUCCAUUUUUAAUUUCUUUGAACCCUCAGAGACUAUACGCCAAACUAGUCACGAAGCGUGUAGCGCGAAGCGUAUAGCGUAAAAAGAGAAAUCUUCUUGCGUUAUAUGUUACAAGUUAUACGGUUUGCGAUUGGAAGAUAUAGUCCGAACUGCAUGGCGACAUGCAGAGACAAGUAGAAAUAUCUUGUCCGCAAGUUUGUAAUUUUAAGAUUUCAUCUCCGAUUUAUUUGAAAAUUGGGAAUUGAUAAUUGAAAAUUACAAUUUUGUAGCAACAAAAUUGUAGAUACCCCAGUAGUCCACGCCCUAAACGAUGUUCAUUGGCUUUUCAGAGUAUCGACCCUCCGAGAGGCGAAGCUAACGCGAUAAAUGAACCGCCUGGGUAGUACGACCGCAAGGUUAAAACUCAAAGGAAUAGACGGGGACUUGCACAAGCGGUGGAUUGUGUGGUUCAAUUCGAUGGUAAGCGAAGAACCUUACCAGGGUUAGAAAUCUAGGUGAAGCGGAGCAGAAACGUUCCGCGUCUCACAAGGACUCCUAGACAGGUGCUGCAUGGUCGUCGUCAGUUCGUGGUUUGA